rnacentral:rRNA from 1 species
GACGAACGCUGGCGGCGUGCUUAACACAUGCAAGUCGAACGAAGAGCGAUGGAAGCUUGCUUCUCUCAAUCUUAGUGGCGAACGGGUGAGUAACGCGUAAUCAACAUCCCCUUCAGAGGGGGACAACAGUUGGAAACGACUGCUAAUACCGCAUACGAUCCGACCUCGGCAUCGAGGAUGGGUGUAAGGUGGCUGCUAUUUAUAAGCUAUCACUGAAGGAGGGGACUGCGUCUGAUUGGCUAGGUGGGGGGCUACCGGCCCACCGAGGCAAUGAUCAGUAGCCGGCCUGCGAGGAGGAGCGGCCACGCUGGGACUGGGGCACGGCCCAGCACCCUGCGGGAGGGAGCCGUGGGGGACCUUUCGGAAAGGAAGAAGGGCGGACGAAGCAACGCCGGGUGAGUGAUGACGGCCGUCGGGUUGUAAAGGUCAGUUAGUCGGGACGAAAGGUCUUCUUGCGAAUAGGGGGAGGAAUUGACGGUACCGGAAUAGAAAGCCACGGCUAACUACGUG